GAUGAACGCUGGCGGCGUGCUUAACACAUGCAAGUCGAACGGAAAGGCCCAAGCUUGCUUGGGUACUCGAUUGGCGAACGGGUGAGUAACACGUGGGUGAUCUGCCCUGCACUUCGGGAUAAGCCUGGGAAACUGGGUCUAAUACCGGAUAGGACCACAUCUUGGAUGUUGUGGUGGAAAGUUUUUUCGGUGUGGGAUGAGCUCGCGGCCUAGCAGCUUGUUGGUGGGGUAAUGGCCUACCAAGGCGUCGACGGGUAGCCGGCCUGAGAGGGUGUACGGCCACAUUGGGACUGAGAUACGGCCCAGACUCCUACGGGAGGCAGCAGUGGGGAAUAUUGAACAAUGGGCGCCAGCCUGAUGCAGAGACGCCGCGUGGGGGAUGACGGCCUUCGGGUUGUAAACUCCUUUCGCUAGGGACGAAGCGUUUUGUGACGGUACCUGGAGAAGAAGCACCGGCUAACUACGUG
rnacentral:rRNA from 1 species